GCGGAGGGCCGGAUGGCCGCGGCGGGGCUUGCCCCGUCGAGGAAAGUCCGGACUCCAUGAGGCGACGGUGCCGGGUAACGCCCGGCGGGGGCAACCCCAGGGACAGCGCCACAGAGAACAGACCGCCGCUGCGUGCAGCGGCAAGGGUGAAACGGUGGGGUAAAAGCCCACCGGGCGGCUGGCAACAGACGCCGCAUGGCAAGCCCCACCGGGAGCAAUGCCGAAUAGGGACCGCGCGCGGGGACACCCGCAGGGCCGCCUUGCCCCAGCAGGUCCGGGUAGGCAGCUUGAUCCGGCCGGUAACGGUCGGGCCAGAGGAAUGGUCAUUGCCCCGGCAGAAUGUCGGGGAACAGAAUCCGGCUUACACGCCCUCCGCGCAA
rnacentral:RNase_P_RNA from 1 species